rnacentral:rRNA from 1 species
GAUGAACGCUGGCGGCGUGCCUAAUACAUGCAAGUCGAGCGAACGGACGAGAAGCUUGCUUUUCUGAUGUUAGCGGCGGACGGGUGAGUAACACGUGGAUAACCUACCUAUAAGACUGGGAUAACUUCGGGAAACCGGAGCUAAUACCGGAUAAUAUUUUGAAACGCAUGGUUCAAAAGUGAAAGACGGUCUUGCUGUCACUUAUAGAUGGAUCCGCGCUGCAUUAGCUAGUUGGUAAGGUAACGGCUUACCAAGGCAACGAUGCAUAGCCGACCUGAGAGGGUGAUCGGCCACACUGGAACUGAGACACGGUCCAGACUCCUACGGGAGGCAGCAGUAGGGAAUCUUCCGCAAUGGGCGAAAGCCUGACGGAGCACCGCCGCGUGAGUGAUGAAGGUCUUCGGAUCGUAAACCUCUGUUAUUAGGGAAGAACAUAUGUGUAAGUAACUGUGCACAUCUUGACGGUACCUAAUCAGAAAGCCACGGCUAACUACGUG